GGCCUCGUGGCCCAAUGGCAAGGCGUCUGACUACGACUCGACUAUCAACUGAAUCGCGAUCAGGAGAUUACAGGUUCGAUCCCUGUCGGGGUCA